rnacentral:rRNA from 1 species
AACGAACGCUGGCGGCAUGCCUAACACAUGCAAGUCGAACGAGACCUUCGGGUCUAGUGGCGCACGGGUGCGUAACGCGUGGGAACCUGCCCUUAGGUUCGGAAUAACUCCCCGAAAGGGGUGCUAAUACCGGAUAAUGUCUUCGGACCAAAGAUUUAUCGCCUUUGGAUGGGCCCGCGUUGGAUUAGCUAGUUGGUAGGGUAAAAGCCUACCAAGGCGACGAUCCAUAGCUGGUCUGAGAGGAUGAUCAGCCACACUGGGACUGAGACACGGCCCAGGCUCCUACGGGAAGCAGCAGUGGGGAAUAUUGGACAAUGGGCGAAAGCCUGAUCCAGCAAUGCCGCGUGAGUGAUGAAGGCCUUAGGGUUGUAAAGCUCUUUUACCCGGGAUGAUAAUGACAGUACCGGGAGAAUAAGCUCCGGCUAACUCCGUG